GAGUUCAUCUGUAGAGAAAGUUUGCAAAAAUGUAAAAUAUAUUGGAGAUACCUUUUGUUUUUCUGCUCCAUCUUUUUCAAUCUGUUUAACAAAAUGCAGGCUACUAUGGGGUAUUGGAGUGUAUCUGUUUUCUGGAAAAUGUUAUCUGCUUAUAAUCUGCAUCAUGAUGAUAUGCAGCUGACCAGUGAUCCUUUUUCUGGUAUGUUCAGCUCCUUAUUUUUCAAGUUGAUCUCAUAGUGCUCUGUGUUGACAUACGUAUUUUCAUUUCAGUUUAGAGUUUGGAAGAAAGCAGGGAGGCAGUAAAAAGGAGCAAGAAAGAAAGCGGUUAAUUCACAAACAUAAACGUGAAUUUAAAGGAGCUGUUCGUGAGAUCCGGAAGGACAACCAGUUUCUGGCUAGAACGCAGCUUUCAGAAAUCAUGGAGAGAGAUUCAGCCAGAAAGAGAAAAGUGAAAGAGCUUCUUGGUAGUCUUGCUACACAGGAAGGUGAAUGGAAAGCUAUGAAAAGGAAAAAGGGGAAGAACUAAUUGGGACUGUCUACACAUAGAAAGUUUGGUUUUAUAUGGCUUUUGCACAGAUUUUAAUUGCAUCCUUUGGAUGCAUUCCUUUUGAGACAAAUAACAUCAUCAGAUCUGCCUGAAAAAGUGAAAAAGAAAAAUAAAAAUAACACUUUUGUAUGUG